GAGUUUGAUCCUGGCUCAGGACGAACGCUGGCGGCGUGCCUAAUACAUGCAAGUCGAGCGAGGGUUUUUAAGUCCCUAGCGGCGGACGGGUGAGUAACACGUAGGCAACCUGCCUCUCAGACCGGGAUAACAUAGGGAAACUGAUGCUAAUACCGGAUAGGUUUUGGAUUGCAUGAUCCGAAAAGAAAAGAUGGCUUUUUGCUAUCACUGGGAGAUGGGCCUGCGGCGCAUUAGCUAGUU
rnacentral:rRNA from 1 species